UCCCCAGUGGCGCAACUGGUUAGCGCGCCGUACUUAUAAUGCGGAGGUUGUGAGUUCGAUCCUCACUUGGGGAA
rnacentral:tRNA from 1 species